UACGUAGGGGGCUUGCGUUGUCCGGAUUUAUUGGGCGUAAAGAGCGUGUAGGCGGCCAAGUAAGUCCGGUGUGAAAACUCGAGGCUUAACCUCGAGAUGUCAUCGGAAACUAUUUGGCUAGAGUCCGGAAGAGGAGAGUGGAAUUCCUGGUGUAGCGGUGAAAUGCGCAGAUAUCAGGAAGAACACCUAUGGCGAAAGCAGCUCUCUGGGACGGUACUGACGCUGAGACGCGAAAGCGUGGGGAGCGAACAGG
rnacentral:rRNA from 1 species